GGGGGGGGGGGGGGGGGUGGGUGGGGGGGGCGGGGCGGGCGGACAGGGGGGGAGCGUGGGCGGGGGACGGUGGCGGCGGCCGGGGGAGUAGCACGGGGAUAGCCGGCCGAUAAGACUGGGAUAACUUCGGGAAACCGGAGCUCAUACCGGGUAAGAUCUUGAACCGCAUGGUUCGAUAGUGAAAGACGGAUUUGCUGUCACUUAUCGAUGGAUCCGCGCGGCAUUAGCUAGUUGGUACGGUAACGGCUUACCAAGGCAACGAGGCGUAGCCGACCUGAGAGGGUGAUCGGCCACACUGGAACUGAGACACGGCCCAGACUCCUACGGGAGGCAGAAGUAGGGAAUCUUCCGCAAUGGGCGAAAGCCUGACGGAGCAACGCCGCGUGAGUGAUGAAGGUCUUCGGAUCGUAAAACUCUGUUAGUAGGGAAGAACAAAUGUGUAAGUAACUAUGCACGUCUUGACGGUACCUAAUCAGAAAGCCACGGCUAACUACGUG
rnacentral:rRNA from 1 species